rnacentral:misc_RNA from 1 species
GAAAGUUCUUUUUCAGCAGCAUAUUUUCACUGCUAUCAAUCCAGAUUUCAAAUUUGGCUUCCUGUGCACAUUUCAACCUGUAUAUCGGUGUAUAAAAUAUGUAUAUAGCUGGUAGACAGCUUCUCAACAUCUGCAAAUUUAAUUUUCAGCACUGCAUCUGCUGGUUUCACAACCUGUACGCCAGUUAUGAGGGGGGUCUACGACUCGAAGAAGAUGUUUUGAGCCUUUAUGGCUCAAUGAGGAAGUGCAACAAGAUGGAUUAAAGUCCAUGAGGACUCGAGGAGAAUUUCCCAUGCAAUAAAACAAACAAAAGGAGAAUUAGCACCUUAAUCAAAUGAUUAGAACAAAACAAAAAUAGAAGAUGUGAGCUACUUAGAAAAUAUGAGCUAGAAAAGGGAUACGAAAUCUCAAUAUAUAUCCCAUAUGAAAGCAAAACAGGGGACUAUGGAGCACUAAACAAAUGUUCAAAAGAAUAAAGCAAAGCCAUCAUCCAUCUAGAUUAUUAGUGAUAAUUUAAGGCUAUAUAAACCAUUUCAAACCCAAAGAAAACCAUGUGACAGUGAGCAGCAAACAGACUGCAGAUCAAGCACAGAGGGGCAUUGAUCCCUUUCCAUCGUUUAAGCCACUGAACACAUAUAAAGGGCAUAUACGCGAAAACCACUCGAUAACCAAAAUCACGAUAAAGAGAAGGCUUAGCUGUAGGACGAAGAGUAAAUUCCUCCUCCAAGAUAGCCACAACUCGAACAUGUAAAUGCUUCUACCCCCAUACGACAACUGUUUUAGAGCAGCCAACCGGAACA